UUUUAAAUGUUGUGGAUUAUAUUUAGGGGUUCAUAAUUAGAAUAAGAAUGAAAAAAAAAAAUGGAUUGCAUCAGAAUAAAAAAUAAAAUAAUGAAUCAUUCAAAAAAUAUUUAGUUUAUUAUUGAAAUGAGAAUCAAAAUGAACAUCUAGAAUUUUGAGAGAGAGUUUUGGUUAAGAAAAAGAGGAGGUGUUUGUGAGAGAGCACUUCGAGCGAUUUACUUUGGAAUGUGCCAAUCCGGAAUUUGAACUCGGAUUGGACCAUACAUGGAUUGAUUCAUUUCCAUUCUAGAAUGGAAUGGAAAUCAUCGGAGGCCAAUUCUUAUAAAACUUUUUUCAACAAACAAUAACUAUCAAAAUAAAUAAAUAAAUCUCACUCUGUUUCUAUAGUCUAAAAUAAGUGAACCAAACAAGCCCUUAUAAUAAUAGAUUUAGUUUCAGAACAUCAAUCAUGCAUCAAAUGUAAGAGACUGUACGCAGAGUGUACGCAUGCACACGGUGCAAGCAAUAAUUUCUAGAGAAAAAGAGAUGUGUUAUUAUUAUUAGGGAUAAUUGCCCAUGUAUCCCUCAAAAUUUUAAAAAUAUCUCAUUUACCCCUACUUUUUUUUUUUUUUUUCUUUCCAAUAUAUCUCUCAUAUGUUCCUCCGUUAUUCCAAAACACCCCUCCAGUUACCACCCGUUAAGUUAACUUGGGUUCAAUAUGAGUUAAAUAUCUACUAGAGUUAAAAAAAAAUCAAAAUGCCUCUUUUACCCUUAACAUAAGGGCAAAUAAGAAAUAUUGAUGAUAGUAGAAUGGUAUAUUUGAAAAGACAAAAAAUUAAAGUACUUUUUGUGCCCCUAACUCAAGGGUAAAUCAGAAAGUCAAUGAUAGUAGAAAGGUAUACUUAAAAGGAUAAAAUAGUAAUUUCAUACAUAUAACAGCUAUGGUUAACAGUUCGUUAACACAACUUAACUCUAGUGGCAUAUUUAAAAUAAGUUGGAACGUAAAAAAAGUAUUUUUAAUAUUAACCUUACAAGAAGAAUAAAUCAGAAAGUCGAAAACUUUUUAGCAAUAUAGAAGCAAUUGCCUCUUAUUAUUAUUAUUAUUAUUUGGAAAAGCAUGAAGUUCUCAUGAUAACCUGCUUUAAAUUUCCUGGGUUACAAAUUGCCAUAUGCAUCUAAUUACUCCUUUUUCCAUAGGUUCAUGUAUUUUUGUGGAAUUUGUGCCUAACUCUUUGUCUUCAUCUCAUUGUGAUUUUGUUGACUAGGGUGUGGAAACAUGACAAAUGCCAAACUCAUCCAACAUGUGGUAAUGAAUAGUUAAAGCAUGCUAAAUUUGCUACAGUAAAUUGGAGCAAUUAUCGAGUGACAAAGCUUGUUUUACAAAUGUAUCCUGGAAAAACUUUUCAUAUCUUUUCAGAUUCAGCAUCUAUCAUCAAAGCUUUGCACCUCAGGAGUUAUCAAUCAGAUUCGCUAACACCUGAAGCUCGGACAAGAAUCACAGAGCUAUGGACUAUUACUGAAAAAUUCAAUUACUUCAGCUUCGGAUGGAAUUCGAGAUUUUCAAAAAAUGCGAUAGUCGCGGAUCGCUUAGCCACUUGGGGAAUCGCACAAAAGAAGCUUUCUUUCUGGUCUUCUUUUGAGGAAUUUUCUCAGUCUGUAUCCACUGAUUAAUUAAAUAAAAAUUGCCUCAGGGCGUGUUUUCCCUCAAAAAAAA
rnacentral:lncRNA from 1 species